UUUAAAUAGCUUAUAAUAGAGCAUGAUAUUGAAGAUAUCAAGGAAAUAUAAAUAUUUUUAAAUAU
rnacentral:tRNA from 1 species